UGCACAAGUUGUAGUUGCUACUACUUUCAUAGUACGGCAAUAUAUUUGUUUGUGUUACUGACUUCGUCAAGUUGAGCAACUUGAUUAGAUUUCUGAAGCAUUGUAUCUGUUUGUUGUUACAAUUUGCAAGUCCUAAAUUUGUUCAAAAAGCACUGAUUGGAAGAGAGGAUUUUGCUGCGUUGUAAUUUUUGAGGAUGAAUGCUUAUUUAAUGUAAACUAUACUUGCGUAUAGUACUCUUAGAUA
rnacentral:misc_RNA from 1 species